GUUUCAAGAUGAUUAACUUACCGAUGACACAAUAAAGUCUCCAUUUACAACCAAGAAUGGCAGUGAAUGGCCGUCUAUCAAGGCGCAUCCAUCCAUGAUAAAAGUAAUCCACCACAUGACUCUGGCGGGGUUAUAAAGCCCUUUUAAAGCGAAGCAUUUGUGCUAUGAGGAAAAACUCUACUGUGCACACAGAGAACAGAGCUCAAUGCUAACUGGGGGAGCAGCUGGAC